CAAGGUCUCCGUAGGGGAACCAGCGGAGGGAUCAUUACCGAGUUUACAACUCCCAAACCCCUGUGAACAUACCAAUUGUUGCCUCGGCGGAUCAGCCCGCUCCCGGUAAAACGGGACGGCCCGCCAGAGGACCCCUAAACUCUGUUUCUAUAUGUAACUUCUGAGUAAAACCAUAAAUAAAUCAAAACUUUCAACAACGGAUCUCUUGGUUCUGGCAUCGAUGAAGAACGCAGCAAAAUGCGAUAAGUAAUGUGAAUUGCAGAAUUCAGUGAAUCAUCGAAUCUUUGAACGCACAUUGCGCCCGCCAGUAUUCUGGCGGGCAUGCCUGUUCGAGCGUCAUUUCAACCCUCAAGCCCAGCUUGGUGUUGGGACUCGCGAGUCAAAUCGCGUUCCCCAAAUUGAUUGGCGGUCACGUCGAGCUUCCAUAGCGUAGUAGUAAAACCCUCGUUACUGGUAAUCGUCGCGGCCACGCCGUUAAACCCCAACUUCUGAAUGUUGACCUCGGAUCAGGUA
rnacentral:rRNA from 1 species